rnacentral:rRNA from 1 species
UCAAGUGACUAAGAGCACAUGGCGGAUGUCUUGGCGUCAAGAGGCGAUGAAGGACGUGGGAACCUGCGAAAAGUUCAGGGGAGCCGGUAACCAGGCUGUGAUCCUGAAAUGUCCGAAUGGGGAAACCCGGCCGUAAGGUCACUCUUACCUGAAUGCAUAGGGUAAGAGAGCGAACCUGGGGAACUGAAACAUCUAAGUACCCAGAGGAAAGGAAAUCAACCGAGACUCCGUGAGUAGCGGCGAGCGAAAGCGGAUUGCGACUUAAGUCAGUGAACGCGUUGGAAAGCGCGGCCAAAGAAGGUGAUAGCCCUGUAGUUGGAUGAUGUCGCUCAGCCCUAGAGUAGCGUCGGUGUCGUGAAACCCGGCGUGAACAUGGGGGGUCCACCCUCCAAGGCUAAGUACUACUUGACGACCGAUAGUUAACCAGUAAGGCGACUGAAUGAUGAAAACUACCCCUGCUAGGGGUGUGAAAGAGUAGCUGAAACCAUGUGCUUACACAGCGGUCAGAGCCCUUCGGGGUGAUGGCGUGCCUUUUGCAUAAUGACCCGGCGAGUUACUCUCAUUGGCGAGGUUAAGGCCUAGCGGGCCGAAGCCGAAGCGAAAGCGAGUCUGAAAUAGGCGUUGAGUCGAUGGGAGUAGACGCGAAACCUUGUGAUCUACCCAUGGCCAGGUUGAAGUUUUGGUAACACAAAAUGGAGGACCGAACCAGUACACGUUGAAAAGUGUUUGGAUGAGCUGUGGGUAGGGGUGAAAGGCCAAUCAAACUGGGAAAUAGCUCGUACUCCCCGAAAUGCAUUUAGGUGCAGCGUCGUGGUAGAGUGUUAUAGAGGUAGAGCUACUGAUAGGGCUAGGGGGCUUCACCGCCUACCAAACCCUGACAAACUCCGAAUGCUAUAACAUAUACACGGCAGUGAGGGCAUGGGUGCUAAGGUCCAUGUCCGAGAGGGAAAGAACCCAGAUCAUCAGCUAAGGCCCCCAAAUGUAUACUAAGUUGUUUUAACGUUGUGCGAUUGCAUAGACAGCUAGGAUGUUGGCUUGGAAGCAGCCAUUCAUUUAAAGAGUGCGUAACAGCUCACUAGUCGAGCGAUCGUGCGUGGAUAAUAAUCGGGCAUUAAGUAUACUGCCGAAGCUAUGACAUCGAAAGAUGGGUAGGGGAGCAUUCUAUGUGCGUUGAAUGUGAAGGGUGACCUUUGCUGGAGCGUAUAGAAAAGCAAAUGUAGGAAUAAGUAACGAUAAAGCAGGCGAGAAACCUGCUCACCAAUAGACUAAGGUUUCCUUGGCGACGCUAAUCGUCCAAGGGUUAGUCGGGACCUAACGCGAACCCGAUAGGGGUAGUGGAUGGAUAAUGGGUUAAUAUUCCCAUACUUGUAUUAACUGCGAUGGGGUGACGGAGUGAUGACCGAACCGCGUACUGACGGAAUAGUACGUUGAAGGGUGUAGUUAUAUGGACCGUAGGCAAAUCCGCGGAUCAUGAUGAACCUGAUAGUACCACAAUGCUUCGGCAGCGUGGAUAGUAGACCUAAUCAGACUUCCAAGAAAAACCUCUAAACUUAUGUGUAUGGUACCUGUACCGUAAACCGACACAGGUAGUCAAGGAGAGAAUCCUGAGGUGCUCGAGUGAUCCGUGGCUAAGGAACUAGGCAAAAUGGCCCUGUAACUUCGGGAGAAGGGGCGCUUCCUCUGUAAAGAGAAGCCGCAGUGAAUAGGCCCAGGCGACUGUUUAUCAAAAACACAUGGCUUUGCAAAAACGAAAGUUGAAGUAUAAGGCCUGACACCUGCCCGGUGCCGGAAGGUUAAGUGGAGAUGUUAGCUUCGGCGAAGCAUUCAAAUGAAGCCCCGGUAAACGGCGGCCGUAACUAUAACGGUCCUAAGGUAGCGAAUUCCUUGUCGGGUAAGUUCCGACCUGCACGAAUGGUGUAAC